rnacentral:tRNA from 1 species
GCCCGGGUGGCUCAGUCGGUUAAGCGUCUGCCUUCGACUCAGGUCAUGAUCUCAUGGUUUGUGGGUUCGAGCCCCGUGUCGGGCU